GCGAAACCUUUACACUGCACGCCAGUGCGAUAAGGGGAUCCCAAGUGCGCAGGCAUAGAGCCUGCGCUUUUGUACACCGUAGGGAGGUGUACGAAUAAGGGCUGGGCAAGACCGGUGCCAGCCGCCGCGGUAMUACCGGCAGCCCGAGUGAUGGCCGAUCUUAUUGGGCCUAAAGCGUCCGUAGCUGGCCGCGCAAGUCCAUCGGAAAAUCCACCCGCUCAACGGGUGGGCGUCCGGUGGAAACUGCGUGGCUUGGGACCGGAAGGCGCGACGGGUACGUCCGGGGUAGGAGUGAAAUCCCGUAAUCCUGGACGGACCGCCGAUGGCGAAAGCACGUCGCGAGGACGGAUCCGACAGUGAGGGACGAAAGCCAGGGUCUCGAACCGGAUUAGAUACCCGGGUAGUCCUGGCCGUAAACAAUGUCUGUUAGGUGUGGCUCCCACUACGAGUGGGUGCUGUGCCGUAGGGAAGCCGCUAAACAGACCGCCUGGGAAGUACGUCCGCAAGGAUGAAACUUAAAGGAAUUGGCGGGGGAGCACUACAACCGGAGGAGCCUGCGGUUUAAUUGGAAUCA
rnacentral:rRNA from 1 species